rnacentral:rRNA from 1 species
CAUUAGUUAGUUGGUGGGGUAAAGGCCUACCAAGACUAUGAUGUGUAGCCGGGCUGAGAGGUUGAACGGCCACAUUGGGACUGAGACACGGCCCAAACUCCUACGGGAGGCAGCAGUAGGGAAUUUUCGGCAAUGGAGGAAACUCUGACCGAGCAACGCCGCGUGAACGAUGAAGUAUUUCGGUACGUAAAGUUCUUUUAUUAGGGAAGAAUAAAUGAUGGAAAAAUCAUUCUGACGGUACCUAAUGAAUAAGCCCCGGCUAACUAUGUGCCAGCAGCCGCGGUAAUACAUAGGGGGCAAGCGUUAUCCGGAAUUAUUGGGCGUAAAGGGUGCGUAGGCGGUUAAAUAAGUUUAUGGUCUAAGUGCAAUGCUCAACAUUGUGAUGCUAUAAAAACUGUUUAGCUAGAGUAAGAUAGAGGCAAGUGGAAUUCCAUGUGUAGUGGUAAAAUGCGUAAAUAUAUGGAGGAACACCAGUAGCGAAGGCGGCUUGCUGGGUCUUUACUGACGCUGAGGCACGAAAGCGUGGGGAGCAAACAGGAUUAGAUACCCUGGUAGUCCACGCCGUAAACGAUGAGUACUAAACGUUGGGUAAAACCAGUGUUGAAGUUAACACAUUAAGUACUCCGCCUGAGUAGUACGUACGCAAGUAUGAAACUUAAAGGAAUUGACGGGACUCCGCACAAGCGGUGGAUCAUGUUGUUUAAUUCGAAGGUACCCGAAAAACCUCACCAGGUCUUGACAUGCUUCUGCAAAGCUGUAGAAACACAGUGGAGGUUAUCAGUUGCACAGGUGGUGCAUGGUUGUCGUCAGCUCGUGUCGUGAGAUGUUGGGUUAAGUCCCGCAACGAGCGCAACCCUUAUUGUUAGUUACCAGCACGUAAUGGUGGGGACUUUAGCAAGACUGCCAGUGAUAAAUUGGAGGAAGGUGGGGACGACGUCAAAUCAUCAUGCCCCUUAUGACCUGGGCUACAAACGUGAUACAAUGGCUGUUACAAAGGGUAGCUGAAGCGCAAGUUUUUGGCGAAUCUCAAAAAACA